rnacentral:lncRNA from 1 species
CUCGACCAUUUUAUCCCAAAGGGCGGGUUAUCACAUUCUCCCCCCCUUAAUAGAAUUCGUCCUCGAAUUCUUAGUUGCGCAAUUGCUUAGCUUCACGAAAUGUUCCUCCUUGAUGUGUAGUGAUGAUGUUCAGCUUUUGAAUAACUUCGUCUUGCGGUCUUGGUCAUAAGAUAUGGUUCUUUGCUGGCUCCCCUUUCUCUCGGUUUCUUUAGGUCUCCAUGAACACUUUGGAUUUUGAACUUGCUCCACCUUGAUAACAACUCCUCCAUAACUCCUAAUUACAUAACUUUGUCUUGAUCACUAGAUGUGCUUCUUUAUCGGUUGGCCUUAGAUAUCUCCCCUUGAUUUCUUCAGUCUUCUUCUAGAUU